AAAGAAUUUACAUAACUCAACACUCAAAAGUUAAGUAAUCCAAUUAAAAAAUGGGCAGAAGACAUGAACAGACAUUUUUCCAAAGAGAACAUAGG